GGUUGUUUUCUUGUACUCUGCUUGUGUUGGAAUAAUAGAUACGUUUCCAGUGCUGGGUGUUGAUAACACUGGUGUUUUUGGGUGUAGAACUAAACGUUUUAGGUUCCUUUUAAUCCAGAAACCUAACAUUUUUUCUAUCAAUCUUAUUUGUUCAACUAUCUUCUUGCAAAAUACCUAUGAGACAUCUGGGUUUUUAUCAAUGUAAUGUUGUCUUUUUUUAUAAUAAAAAAAAUUGUAAUCCAGCCUAACCAACUCCUUUCAGGGCCCCCCAGGGACUGGGAAGACUCAGACCAUACUUGGGAUUCUAAGUACCAUUUUGCAUGCAACUCCUACAAGAGUGCAUUCUAAGACCUAUGAGCUAAGGCAAGGACCACAAUUACCUACUGAGGAGAAGUCCAUAGCAGAGUACCCUUCCAAAAUGAUAAAGUUGAUUUUAACCUCUAUAGUAUCUCUUGCAUGUUGGCUAGCUCUUUUACCCUUUUUUGUAGAAUUCAAGAAUAAUUUAGUUUGGUUAGAUGAUGUUCAACAAGAGCCUUGUAAUAUUUGGUUUCAAAGUACAUAUCUUGCAAAAUUACCUUGGGAUGGUGACCACUUCUGUCCCAAGAUCAAUUAAAAUAAACCGCAAAUGGGUUUUAUACU